AAUAACAGUGGUUCUUAACACAACCAUAUGUCUGCUUAAGUUAAAUGAAAAGUCAUGACAGCUGUUACCAAGUCCAGCAUCACUCUAUAUCUAUUAAGUGGGCAAAUGAUCUAAAAUGAUCCAGAGGAGGUUUUUAACUACGUGCCCUAAACAACGUGUUCAUUAGAUUGCUAGCACAAUAUAUAGAUAAAAUCUUAUGCUCAGUUUUGCUGGUAAGUUUAUAGAUUGGGAGAAAACCCUAUUCAAAGAGUUUUUGUUUUUUUUCUCUCCCAGCCUUCACUCAAUAUCUCUGCCCUCC